AUUGAACGCUGGCGGCAGGCCUAACACAUGCAAGUCGAACGAGUGGCGGACGGGUGAGUAAUGUCUGGGAACCUGCCUGAUGGAGGGGGAUAACUACUGGAAACGGUAGCUAAUACCGCAUCCCAUCAGAUGUGCCCAGAUGGGAUUAGCUAGUUGGUGGGGUAACGGCUCACCAAGGCGACGAUCCCUAGCUGGUCUGAGAGGAUGGCCCAGCACACUGGAACUGAGACACGGGCCAGACUCCUACGGGAGGGAGCAGGGGGGAAAAUUGCACAAUGGGCGGAAGCCUGAUGCAGGCAUGCCGCGUGGAUGAAGAAGGCCUUCGGGUUGUAAAGUACUUUCAGCGGGGAGGCGUUACCCGCAGAAGAAGCACCGGCUAACUCCGUGCCAGCAGCCGCGGUAAUUC
rnacentral:rRNA from 1 species